rnacentral:pre_miRNA from 1 species
UUGGUUUGUCCUAAGUCAAACUUCUCCGACCAAGUUUAUAGAAAAAUAUAACAACAAUUAUACUACCAAAUAUAUACACUAUCAAAGUAUAUUCUAUGGUGGAUUCAAUAAAACAAAUUUGGUAUUAUAGGUGUUGUUAGAUUUUUCUAUAAACUUGGUCGAAGUUGAUAAGUUGAACUUAGGACAAACCAAA